rnacentral:lncRNA from 1 species
AAGUUUCAAAAAAUUUGGAUCAGUUUGAUAUUUUUGAAAUUUUUGAUGCAGUUUCCAUGACAACAUAGAAGUUCCAAUGAUUGCCAAAAUCGUACCAAAAUCAGUAUAUGGCUGGCACCUACAUUGUACCAAAAUAUAAUGCUUUUAAGUUUAAGCAUCUCCAAAUAAUUCACCAAAACAAAAAACUGGAAUUUUUCACACUUGUUCCGUUUCCAUGGUAACGACAGCCAUUUUUAAUGGUCUUAAGACCUACUGCAACCC